AUUGAACGCUGGCGGCAUGCUUUACACAUGCAAGUCGAACGGUAACAGGCCGCAAGGUGCUGACGAGUGGCGAACGGGUGAGUAAUGCAUCGGAACGUGCCCAGUCGUGGGGGAUAACUACUCGAAAGAGUAGCUAAUACCGCAUACGAUCUAUGGAUGAAAGCGGGGGACCGUAAGGCCUCGCGCGAUUGGAGCGGCCGAUGUCAGAUUAGGUAGUUGGUGGGGUAAAGGCUCACCAAGCCAACGAUCUGUAGCUGGUCUGAGAGGACGACCAGCCACACUGGGACUGAGACACGGCCCAGACUCCUACGGGAGGCAGCAGUGGGGAAUUUUGGACAAUGGGCGCAAGCCUGAUCCAGCAAGGCCGCGUGCAGGAAGAAGGCCUUCGGGUUGUAAACUGCUUUUGUACGGAACGAAACGGCUCUGGUUAAUACCCGGGGCUAAUGACGGUACCGUAAGAAUAAGCACCGGCUAACUACGU
rnacentral:rRNA from 1 species